AUAUUGAAUGAUUAGUGUACGUCUCCUAUGACGUUUGUCUAUUUAAAAAAAAAACUGUAAAUCUAUAUUUAUUGAAAAGUAACUCUCUCAAUUGAGUGGGCUCCCUUUCCCUUUUGCUCGAAUUAGCCCAAUCUCCAAACUUGGCCCAAUACCAUCUUCAGUCACCACAUUUAAGCUUUGCAAAACCCUACUCCGUUGCCGCCACCGUCGCCGCCGCCGCCGUAGCCUUGCCCUGUAGGUCUUUUUUUUUUCUUUCUAUUCAUCGAUGAAGAAGAAGAUAUCCAAUGCAAAUACCAGAAGAUUAGCGAUGUUUCCAGAUGCCAACAAAAGAAAAAGAAGAAAUUCAAUGCAAAUACCACUCGGAUUAGCGAUAGCAAAAAGUUCAAUCAGAAGAAAUCACUUCAUACUUGCCAAGAGAAGAGCGUUGCAGAGAUGGAUAUUGUUGCUCAUUCUCAGGUGAUUCACUACUUGUGAUUCAGUUUAAUUGUUGUUUUUUAUUUAUCUUAUAUAUAUAUUUUUGGUCUAGGGAUUAAUUUUUUUUCAACAAGACUUGAUGAUGGAGAUCCUUAGUUACCCGUGCGAUAUCUUUUCCGAUUCAAAUGUGUUGCAAAAUCUUGGGAUAUAACAUCUGAUCCUUACUUUAAAUGAAGCAUCAACGCCAUCAUGCCAAUUCCACAAAAUUUCUACUUGACCAUUGCAACCUCAAUAGGAAAAAUAACUUCUAUUCUACUUCUUCUCUAUCCUCCCCUGAUGAUGUACAAAAACUUGAUGAUCUCCCUCCAAAGAGUCACAUACUCUUUGGUUCUUGUGAUGGCUUGGUUCUUAUCGGGGUUUCUAGUCGUUCUAAUUAUCAGCUUCUAUUGUGGAACCCCUCUACAAGAGAAUCAAUACUACUUUCCCCUCCGGAAUUUGGAAUAUUCAAUUCCAUUUUUGCAUUGGGAUGCGAUCAAACUACGAAUGACUACGUGGUACUUACAAUCCACGAUGACAUGAAACUAACCCCUGUAGACCCACACUGUGGAAUUCUUGCCCUAAAAAGUGCUUCUUGGAGAAAAGUUUGUAUCAAGACACCUAAGUUAUUUUGCCCUUGUAGGGAUAGCUUUGGCACAUGUAUGGUAUAUGUACAUGGAGCAUUUAAUUGGCUUCCUUGCUGUUUUCUUGUGGUUUCAUUAAGUAUUUUAUCAGACACUUACAGAGAUACCAUUUCCAGAUCAAAUGUGCUAUAAUCGGCGGCUCCCAACCUUGUCAUCAAAUAAUGUAGCGUUUCAGUAUUGGAAGGAAUGCUUUGUGUUUAAUCUUCCUCUUGGAGAAGGAUUCGUGGGGUGGAUACUACUUUUAUGUUGUGGACAAUGAAAGACUAUGGCGUCAACGAAUCUUGGAUUCAGUUAUUUAAAAUUAACUUUACCGGACUUGAUUCAGCCAAAUCGAUUUAUAGGUUUCCGGAUGGUGAUGUACUAUUUGACAUCUACACUUUAGACGAAGGAGGGUAGUUUAGGUCAUUCAGGACAUCCAAAGGACCAAUUCAAUUAUGGUUUGAUUGGUUUCAUUCAUUUUAUGAAUAUAGUAACACCUUUCGUGUAAUUACUUUCACGGAGAGUUUAAUCUCUCCAAAAUCACUUCUUUAAUAUUUGAUUGAAACAUUUUUACGUAACAAA